rnacentral:lncRNA from 1 species
ACGUCUUCUCCUUGAGUUAUUGGCUCUUUUUUGCAUUCACCCAGCUACUUCAUCCAGCUUAAGGGCUCAGGAGUAGGCCAUUGUGGAGGAAGUGACAGGAGCCCUGUUAUGUAAGAAGACAGGGAGGUAGAUUGCCCAUGCUCACCUCCGGGAGCCUCAGUCACUCUACCACAGAGUGCCCCAGGAGAGACAGAAUGAAAGGAAAGGAAGCAGUGAAAAUGAAGAGGCCAGUGCUGAUGUUCUGGUAGCCUACAUGUCUUCCCUACUUUGAUGGUCUCCAGACUCAGUCUUCAUCAUUUAUUCUUGCUUCCUGCCCCAAGUAUGGGCCACUUCGGCACCCUAAAAUGAUUUCUAUUAUACUGUAAGUAUAGCUGGUUUUGCUUCCUGAGAAUUUAUAAGACUCAUAACUUCAUUGGGUGAACAUGCCAUCAAAUCUUCACUACAGAAAAUGAUAGUUGAAUUUUAAAUUUUAGGGAAAAAAUGAAACUUUUCAUCAGUGAAUUCAGACAAAAAGGGAUUAU